AUGGCGCUGUUUGCGGGACACACGACUAGCAUCAUGCCUGCUGCUGUUUGGAAGGUUUGGGCCCCUCCGAAAUGCAAGUUUUUGCUUGGGUUCAUAAUUCAAAACAGAGUAUGGACGGCCGAUCGAUUGCUCCGCCGUGGCUGGCCGAACUGCAACCUUUGCCCGCUUUGCAAGCAAUUCCAGGAAAUGGCGGCGCAUCUUCUCUUCCAGUGUAGGUUCUCCCAGCGUGUUUGGGUUGAGGUUGCUGCGUGGAUUAGCCUACAUGGUGAUGUGGUGAGGAGCUGGAGAGUUGAGGCUUCAGUUCGAGAUUGGUGGAUUUAA
rnacentral:rRNA from 1 species